UGUGUGUCUUCAGGGAACUCCUAGUCUU
rnacentral:piRNA from 1 species